rnacentral:sRNA from 1 species
UGUGUGAGAGAGAGGCAAGUAUUGCCAUA